rnacentral:rRNA from 1 species
UGGGGAAUAUUGGACAAUGGGCGAAAGCCUGAUCCAGCCAUGCCGCGUGUGUGAAGAAGGUCUUCGGAUUGUAAAGCACUUUAAGUUGGGAGGAAGGGCAGUCAGCGAAUACCUUGCUGUCUUGACGUUACCGACAGAAUAAGCACCGGCUAACUCUGUGCCAGCAGCCGCGGUAAUACGGAGGGUGCAAGCGUUAUCCGGAUUCACUGGGUUUAAAGGGUGCGUAGGCGGGUUGGUAAGUCCGUGGUGAAAUCCCCAAGCUUAACUUGGGAACUGCCGUGGAUACUAUCAAUCUUGAAUAUCGUGGAGGUAAGCGGAAUAUGUCAUGUAGCGGUGAAAUGCUUAGAUAUGACAUAGAACACCAAUUGCGUAGGCAGCUUACUACACGAUCAUUGACGCUGAGGCACGAAAGCGUGGGGAGCAAACAGGAUUAGAGUACCC